CGUCGUUUGCCGUUGUCGACGUAGUCGUCGUCUUCUUCUUCUUCUUCUAACGAGCAGCAGCGGCGCAGGAGUUGAGUCUGGCGCCCUCCAAUAGGAGGUAAUCUCAUGCCACACACAAAACACAUUCAGUUGCCAGUUGGUAGGUAAGCCUGCCACGCAUCGGAGGUCGUGUCUGGGAAACAACACCAACAAAAAAAAAAAAAAAACACAAAACCCGGGAGAAGAAAACUUUGUUGCUCUUCGGAGGCCUUCUUGUGCCCCGACUGUCUCUGUGCCAGGGCUUAAUUAGUGACUGGCAUUUAGCAAUUAGCAUAGACUUGAACCACAGACAAGAUGGGCAAGCUUCAAAAGGGGGUUGGGCUGAUGGGGCGGAUGAGGAAUGUGAGGGGCUAACCAAUGUCAGUAGGUCACUCACCGAGACAAUUGCAUUGAUGUAGGUUAUGGUGCCCAUAUUCGAUGAUCUCCAAAGUUGGCUAAGAGAGUAAGGUAUAAACUGGGCUAAUGCAUUGUGAGAAAAUACAAGCUCAAUAUAAAUGUGUGAUGUAUGUAGGAAACCAGAAAGGAAGUCCGAGAGGUCUGCAAAUCCCCCAAAAAUGUCAUUAAUUUUUAUACCUCUUUAUACCCCCAAUCAAAGCAAAAAAUCUGUCCAGAUUUUUCAGGACUAUUGGUGUAAGGACUCAUGUGAGUAAUGGUAAAUACUAUCCCAAACAAAAAAAGGCUUUUGUGGCAGAUACUUAGUAAAAGGACGAUUUAUCACCCGAAAACUAACUGAAUGAAGGAAGAAGGUAGAGGAAACAGAUAGAUCAUCUUAAAAAUUCAGCUAAUUUGUAUGUUCCUUAGCAGUUAAAAGCAGUGAUCUGAUCAGUGUCAAAUUUGUUUUUGAAAAAUUCUGAUAACUUGCCAUUUUUUAAUCGCUCGAAUGUGAAAUAUCUUUUUAAUCCUUUUAAGUAUCAAAACCAAUAUAACAGUUUAAGCCAAACUGAGCGCAUACUAUUAGACUGUUUAUGAUCCGUCUUCAAAAUAUUAUAUUAACUCUAUGAUUCCAAAGUGCAAAUAGUCAAAAACGUAUCUUGUAUGAGGACGAAGUUAUUCGAGCGAAUCUAAGGUGAUAAGAUUGCCAUUCGACUAAAUUCUUUUUUGUGUCAUUAUUGAAUAAAUCAUAUUAAUUGCUAUACAUUUAAUGUGAAGAUAAGUUAAGGCCAUCGAUCAAAUUGAGAUUCACUUUAUUACCAAACGACUGAUCGCCCAACGAAUCUAGAAACCAUAUUCAAACGAUUGUUGAUUAAUAGCCUUCUGGUUCAUCCUAUCUUUCCCAAAAGGCUUCAGUCUUAACUAUAAUUUCUCAGAGUUUAGUCAAAUGCAAAAUCAUUUUUUGGCGCUGUUUUUAC